rnacentral:rRNA from 1 species
GUGAGGAAUUUUCCGCAAUGGGCGAAAGCCUGACGGAGCAAUGCCGCGUGAAGGAUGAAGGCCUAUGGGUUGUAAACUUCUUUUCUCAGAAAAGAAUUAUGACGGUAUCUGAGGAAUAAGCAUCGGCUAACUCUGUGCCAGCAGCCGCGGUAAGACAGAGGAUGCAAGCGUUAUCCGGAAUGAUUGGGCGUAAAGCGUCUGUAGGUUGUUUAAAAAGUAUUCUGUCAAAGAUUAGGGCUUAACCCUAGAUAGGCAGAAUAAACUUUUAAGCUAGAGUUUGGUAGAGGCAGAGGGAAUUACCGGUGGAGCGGUGAAAUGCGUAGAUAUCGGGAGGAACACCAAAGGCGAAGGCACUCUGCUGGGCCAAUACUAACACUGAGAGACGAAAGCGAGGGGAGCAAAUGGGAUUAGAUACCCCUGUAGUCC